rnacentral:lncRNA from 1 species
UUUUUUUUCUUUUUCUUUUUCUUUUUUUGUUCCCUGAAUUUUUUCUUGAUUGAAGCUUAUAGAUGUCUACGCACGUUAUGGUCACUAUGAUGGGCUGGCUUAAUUGCUACAUAAUGCAUGAUAUAUAGAUAGUUUCGAAUCAUGCGUAUAUCUUUCUAAUGGUUGAUGAUGAUUGCUUAAAUAAUAUUGUUGCAGAUAGAAGAAGCUUCAUACAUGCGUCCCUGUCACACCA